GAAGAGGCAAAAGGGGGACCGAGGGAGGAGUCUGUGCUUCCCCACCCGCUGCUGGCAGGAGGAAAGAACUGGGCAGGCGCAGGCCCGAGGCCUCGCGAGUCACACGGCAAGCCGCAGAGGGCCUCAGGACGGGCCCGUGCGGCACAGCACACACGUGCGCACACACCCAGGCACACACGCAAGCACACACGCGUGUGAGAAGCUCGGGAACAAGGUGAGGAGGUGCCGCCUGGGACGCAGGGCCCGUUCCCGUGCCCUCUGCCUACUCAGAGGGCCUGGGGCUGUCACUCAGGGUGGCCCUAGCUCCCUCACCUGGCCAGCUGGCCCACCGCCUCCCCCGCUGCCCCCCCUCGGGGCCCGCAGUUCUCACCUGGUCUGACUCCAGCAAGCACAGGCAGCGGGUGGUGAGUGAAAGCCAUGCGCGGGGAGCUGCCCUGAGAGGAGAGGGCACUGCAGAAGUCCAGCUUUCCUGACUUCUUUAGAGAAGCCGGGCCUGGGGGGAGGAAUCGGCAACACAGGGCAGGUUUAGCUGGGCUGGGGUGAGAGCAAGGGAGGGCGGGAAGCCAGCAGCUAGCUCCUUCUCUUCUCAGGCCCCCUCCCGGCUGCCCCUGCCCCACCACACCCCUUCCUGCCUCCUUUGCCCACUUCCAGCUCCGACUGGCCAGCUACUUCUGAAGGGAGAGGAAAAGGACAGCCCUUGGGUGUGCUGGGGAGGGGACAAACCCGAGGGCCCGUCUUGCUCUCUGCCGGGCGGAUAACUGAGAGCGGGAGCCUGUGUCUGGGCCGCGGGAAAGCAGGAGCGCCUCCCCGCCCUUCUGCCUCGCUUUCCCCCAGUUCCUACCCCUGCCCAUCCACGUGGCCCAUCUCUGUAGACGCACUUCUGGAAAACGCCAGGCAAAGGGACAUCGGGUCAGACCCUUCUCUUCCGGCUUCGAGACCAAAGCCCCAGGCCUGACCACAGCAGACAUGCCCCACGUACAACGCCCACACAUGGGUCGCACUCUCUGGCCCCGAGAAACCCACACCUCGAGGACACACACAGGCUCUGCUCCUCUCUGUGAUGCUGGGCCCGUCAGACCAGUGGUUCUCAACUCAGGAUGAUUCUGGUCUCCUCUCCCCCUAUGCCAGAGGAUGUUCAGCAAUGUCCAGACGUUUCUGGUCAUUAUACUUUGGGGAGGACGGGGGAGUUGCUACUGGCUGGCGGCUGGAGGCCAGAGCUCUGCUCAGUGACCUGCAGUGCAUAGGAUGGCCCCGCCACGGAGAAUGACGUGGCCCCAAAUGUCAACAGUGCCCGGAUUGAGAAACUGCUUUAAACCAUGAGGACCGUAGGAGCUAGGGCAACCCCUCCAGAGAAACAGCAGGAGACGGAGACCAAGGAGGCUCGAAGUCUGGGGCCUCUGCCUUCCUUCCACCACACCUGUGGGCUCUGCGGCCGAGUCAGCCGCAGCCCAGCUCCUCACCUCCACUCCCUCCUUUGGCCCGGUCCGCCCUCCUCUGGGAGAUCAGGAGGUAGCGCCUCCCACAGCAGGGGAAGCAGAGGGAGGCUCGCCAGGUAAACCGAGAGGGAAAAAGAGGCGCCAGCCGCCCCGCUCGGGGUUGGCCCUGCAGCACCCAUACCUGCAU